rnacentral:tRNA from 1 species
GGAAGGGCCAUAGCUCAGUGGUAGAGCAUCUGCUUUGCAUGCAGAAGGUCCCAGGUUCAAUCCCAGGCACCUCCA